UGAGGUCUCAGGUCAAUAUUUCGGUGUGUUACAAAUGGAAAUUAGUAUAUGGUGGAGGGUAUAAAACCUUACAUCCAAAUGGAGGUCUGGGCUAUCCGUUUUUUUUUUUUUUUUUAAUUACCUAUUUUGUAAUACAUAUAGCACCCGUUUAAGUUGAUAAAAUUUACUUGAAUCUUAUCUGCAAAUGCAAAUUUUGCCCAUGAACAUUCCACUAAGAACAGGGCAAACUACUCACAUAUCAAUGAGUGCAAUCCGAUCAAAGUUUAAGCUCUAUGAUAAGAGUCCUCCUUUUUACUAGGAGACCUCAAGCGGACUCUUUUGAAAGGAUUUUUGAGCACAAUCCAGGAAAAUUUCAAUAUCGGACCAUAAAUGAAGAUUUGGCAGCGCAAACAAUUUUUCAAAUUUUCGCAAGCCUGUAGUACCUAGCACUUAGAAAUUUGCACAUGGUAUCUUUAACACCUUAGCUCUUACCAUUCAAGAUGUAUUUGCCCCUUAUCAAACGACAGUUUUGUUACUAGUUUUUUUUUUUUUGUGUAAUUUUACAGGCAAAAUGGCUCGAUCAUAUACACCUAGGCAAAUUUAUACAUGUUUAAAUUUGCCUUGAUUUAUACAAUGUCGCAUUUUUCAAGAGGGAAGGUGGAAAAUGCUGCAUCGUGGAAGUGAUACCGCGAUUUGGACAGUCAAAAACUAAAUUUUUUGUUAACUGUAUGUCAGCUGUCCUGUUUAAUAGAAAAAUUUUUUUAUGUAACAAUUGAAAAACUUCCAAGUUUCCAAAUUAGGUUUCUCUCUCGAUCGAUCUAACAAUUAUAAAGAAGAGAUUAUUAGCUUACACUGUUUGUAGAAGUUUUGUAGAGCUUUUUCGCAUUGAAGAUAUCGCAGGAUCGUUAUGUUUAGGAUAUGUUUUAUGCACUUAUUUUUUUACACUUCUUACCCAUAUAUUUUUUUUCAUAACUUUAUUUCAAACGGAAUUCGUCCCACAGUGAAUGUACUUCAACAUGUGCCGGGUUUUAAAAAUACACCAGAGCACCUGAUGAAGUACAAUAGACAUGGGACAGUUUUCUCUUUAAGGCACCCCCAUCGAACAAGAUGGGGAAAAGCGAGCUCCGAUCUUGGUUGUUGAAACAUAUGUUCAUAUGUGACGAAGAUGAUGGCGAUAACGAUGAUGAUGAUGACAAUGACAAUCAUGGGUGUAGGCUUUGUGUAAAUUUAUGAUGUCAGUGUCUAAAACUUCGCGCGCUACUUCAGGUACCUGACUGCACUUUUCAAUAUUCAGCCCCGGUCUCUGAUUAGCGCGCAGAGUCGAUAGACAUUUAUUGAGGUAUCUGUUGUAAUCGAAGACACACACACACACACACGCAACACUAAUACAAUGAACUAGAUGUAAAGCUUUUUGACUUGCACCGGAGGUUGCAUUACGUAUCGGUGCUGAGCAGCAAUGCUGCAGAUGGAGUACAAAGACAACUUUUCAAUUUAAAAGAGCGACGGAGAAAGAGAGAUAAAGAGGGAGCGCAAGUGCGAGAGACAACGAAAGAGAGACUUUAUGACUCUCAUCGUACGACCUUGUGUCCGCGCCUUGUAAAAAAUGCUUAAGGUUAACGAUCUACAGCGGCAAAUGAGAAAUGUAUGCGAAAACUGCAGAUCUAUACCAUAUACACGCGCCGCUGCCCAAGCGUUGUCGUCUAUGCCACAACUUUCAAAGCGAACGAGAACAAAGGCAUAUUGGUCACUGUUAUUCGCGUUGUCGUUGUUGUUGUUAAUAACGAUGACUCGAUGUUUGUGCGGUUUUUGUUUGUUUUUUUUUUAUUUAAUUUUUGAGUUUAUAAUAGUUACUCACCGACUGAGCGAUCUUUAUGUAUGAAACGGCGACAAAUAUGGAGAUUUACAUUCUGGUUGCCAACGUCUCUGCUCCACCAAUUUCCGGAAAUUCCAGGAAUAUUAUUAUGGCGACCGAAUCAGUGCCAAGCCAACUGAAGGUUUGGGAGUUGUGGCAAAUGAAGAGACAUACUAAUAAAUAACUAACGAAAAUAAAUGUUGUCGAGUUGCUGCUCUCUCACUCUCUUCGAAUGGCUCAUUAGUUUUUUUCUUUGCACUUUAUGGAUGACAACACGAUCGAUAUUGACUGAUACUCACACCAUACGCACACAAACGAAAUGA
rnacentral:sRNA from 1 species